UGGGGAAUAUUGCACAAUGGAGGGAACUCUGAUGCAGCGACGCCGCGUGAGUGAUGAAGGAUUUCGUUUCGUAAAACUCUGUUCUAUGGGAAGAAAAGGACUGUACCAUAGGAGAAAGCUUCGGCUAAAUACGUGCCAGCAGCCGCGGUAAUACGUAUGGAGCGAGCGUUGUCCGGAAUUAUUGGGCGUAAAGGGUGCGCAGGCGGCUUUACAAGUUGGAUGUGAAAUAUUGUGGCUCAACCACAGACGUGCAUCCAAAACUGCAAAGCUUGAGAUGAGGAGAGGUGAGUGGAAUUCCUGGUGUAGCGGUGGAAUGCGUAGAUAUAAGGAGGAAUACCAGUGGCGAAGGCGACGUACUGGACUUAAACUGACGCUCAGACACGAAAGCGUGGGGAGCAAACAGG
rnacentral:rRNA from 1 species